rnacentral:tRNA from 1 species
UGCGAGUUGUCCGAGAGGUCGAAGGUGGCGGUUUUGAAAGCCGCUAGUCGUAGUGAUACGGCUCUAGGGUUCGAAUCCCUAACUCGCAGCCA